CGGAAAAAAGAUCAACGAACGAGGUGAGUAACACGUGGGUAACCUGCCCAUCAGAAGGGGAUAACACUUGGAAACAGGUGCUAAUACCGUAUAACAAUCGAAACCGCAUGGUUUUGAUUUGAAAGGCGCUUUCGGGUGUCGCUGAUGGAUGGACCCGCGGUGCAUUAGCUAGUUGGUGAGGUAACGGCUCACCAAGGCC
rnacentral:rRNA from 1 species